UACAGAGGUCUCAAGCGUUGUUCGGAUUCAUUGGGCGUAAAGGGUGCGUAGGCGGCGCGGUAAGUCGGGUGUGAAAUCUUGGAGCUUAACUCCGAAACUGCAUUCGAUACUGCCGUGCUUGAGGACUGGAGAGGAGACUGGAAUUUACGGUGUAGCGGUGAAAUGCGUAGAUAUCGUAAGGAAGACCAGUGACGAAGGCGGGUCUCUGGACAGUUCCUGACGCUGAAGCACGAAGGCCAGGGGAGCAAACGGG
rnacentral:rRNA from 1 species